rnacentral:rRNA from 1 species
CAGGGAAGAACAAGUAUCGGAGUAACUGCCGGUACCUUGACGGUACCUGACCAGAAAGCCACGGCUAACUACGUGCCAGCAGCCGCGGUAAUACGUAGGUGGCAAGCGUUGUCCGGAAUUAUUGGGCGUAAAGCGCGCGCAGGCGGUCCUUUAAGUCUGAUGUGAAAUCCCGUGGCUUAACCACGGGCGGUCAUUGGAAACUGGGGGACUUGAGUGCAGAAGAGAAGAGCGGAAUUCCACGUGUAGCGGUGAAAUGCGUAGAGAUGUGGAGGAACACCAGUGGCGAAGGCGGCUCUUUGGUCUGUAACUGACGCUGAGGCGCGAAAGCGUGGGGAGCGAACAGGAUUAGAUACCCUGGUAGUCCACGCCGUAAACGAUGAGUGCUAAGUGUUAGAGGGUUUCCGCCCUUUAGUGCUGCAGUUAACGCAUUAAGCACUCCGCCUGGGGAGUACGGCCGCAAGGCUGAAACUCAAAGGAAUUGACGGGGGCCCGCACAAGCGGUGGAGCAUGUGGUUUAAUUCGAAGCAACGCGAAGAACCUUACCAGGUCUUGACAUCCCGCUGCCCGGUCUGGAGACAGAUCUUUCCCUUCGGGGACAGCGGUGACAGGUGGUGCAUGGUUGUCGUCAGCUCGUGUCGUGAGAUGUUGGGUUAAGUCCCGCAACGAGCGCAACCCUUGACCUUAGUUGCCAGCAUUUAGUUGGGCACUCUAAGGUGACUGCCGGUGACAAACCGGAGGAAGGUGGGGAUGACGUCAAAUCAUCAUGCCCCUUAUGACCUGGGCUACACACGUGCUACAAUGGAUGGUACAAAGGGUUGCGAGACCGCGAGGUUAAGCCAAUCCCAUAAAACCAUUCUCAGUUCGGAUUGCAGGCUGCAACUCGCCUGCAUGAAGCCGGAAUCGCUAGUAAUCGUGGAUCAGCAUGCCACGGUGAAUACGUUCCCGGGCCUUGUACACACCGCCCGUCACACCACGAGAGUUUGUAACACCCGAAGUCGGUGGGGUAACCUUUUGGAGCCAGCCGCCGAAGGUGGGACAGAUGAUUGGGGUGAAGUCGUAACAAGGUAACC